UACGAAGGGUGCAAGCGUUAAUCGGAAUUACUGGGCGUAAAGGGUGCGUAGGCGGUUGUUUAAGUCUGUCGUGAAAUCCCCGGGCUCAACCUGGGAAUGGCGAUGGAUACUGGGCAGCUAGAGUGUGUCAGAGGAUGGCGGAAUUCCCGGUGUAGCGGUGAAAUGCGUAGAGAUCGGGAGGAACAUCAGUGGCGAAGGCGGCCAUCUGGGACAACACUGACGCUGAAGCACGAAAGCGUGGGGAGCAAACAGG
rnacentral:rRNA from 1 species